UAACCCUCUUCUGUACACCUCUGUUCAGGCAACUACUGUCUUUAAUCUGAUGCAGUGUGAGAGGAGGGGGCGGUUUUGUUUGGGGGCGUGAAGUCUCCUCCGCUUUGCCACUGGAGGGCCACAGUUACAAAACUUACCAAUGGCAGCCAGCUGAGCGAUGACUGGGUGUAAAAUGCAUUCGUUUUCACUAACCUGAUACUUUAUAUCAGUAAAAGCUUUGAAGAAUUAGUGUAAAGCCUGUUAGCUUCCAAAGUUACAACAGUUCACAGCCUGCUGUGUGGAGAUGCUACAAUAUAGGAACAAAUAACCUCGUAGCUCUCAAUAUUUCAGACUUACGGUCAAUGCAUGAAGCUAUUCCUCGUUUCGAAGAGUUUCUGUUAAGAACCAAGCGGUGGUUCCGACACAGGUUACAUCCCAGCCGGGCUAGUCUCGGUAGAGGUCUGAGGGCAGCCAUGUUUACUGCCACAGUUACAACACAGGGUGCGCUCCUUAACAGUCAGCCGGUGCUCUAGGAUACGGUGCGUGGGAGGAGUUUAUGUCCGCAGAGCAACCCUUUUCAGGAGGUUACGGCCUGGAUGUCAUUGAACGCAACAUAUCCCACGUGUCUGAAAAGGAAUUUUGUUGACGUCACGUGUUGUGGGGCUUUUCGCGGGAUUUGAAGGCCUGUCUGAUUUACCACUCAGGAAGACUCUGAGAUGCCUCCAAAGAAAAGGACCAGAGUGAGUAAAACAUCCCCAAAUACAGGUAUGUCACACCAAACUCUGCUUCCCUGCCUAUAAGAAAUGCAUAUAACAUGCAUUUCUUAUAAAUCCUUUAAAGGUUAUGAGAAAAGCUUUUGUCUUUCCUUUAAUUAUCUCUGGCCAAAUCACAUACAGGUGCUGGUCAUAAAAUUAGAAUAUCAUGAAAAAGUAGAUUGAUUUCAGUAAUUCCAUUUAAAAAGUGAAACUUGUA